CAAUAUUGGAGUGGAUCACCAUGCGUUCCUCCAGGGGAUCUUCCUGAUCCAAGGAUCAAACCCACAAGGAGGCCAAAUUCAACGAAACUGGAUGGUCUGGAUCUUGUAUUGGAACAGGAACCCCAAAUACAUCAAGAUGAGGAAACGGAGGCUCAGAGGAGUUGAAAUCACAGGCUUCAAAUCCUGCAGCUUGGAUGUCGGAGCUGAGUUGGGCUAGCUCGAAGUCUGGCCACCCCCAGCUCUCCACCCAGGGUGCCCAUUGCCUGUUUGUGUCUUAAGAAAAUAUAGAAGCUUUGUCAGAUGCUCACAAGGAAGUCCAGAAUUGUAAUAAGAUAGCACUGCCCACUAUCAGAGGACAUCCUGAGCCAUCUCUGAGGUUCUUCCUCUGUAUCUCGAGGCUUUCAGCUGCCAUCCUUACGUCCACGGAGUAGAAUGGAUGGUUUUAACCUUGAGUAAUUACCAGAAAAGAAACCUUUGCAACCAAAGACUGGCAUCAAGAGAGGCCAGGACCGUUCAUAUUGACUGCAUAAAAAACAAUAGAAGGGCCCCAAAACAAUAAUUAAAU
ensembl:lncRNA